GCGCCAUGGAAUGCUGGGGUUGGUAGAACCAAGACAUCAAAGGAACCUCACCAGACCCUCUCCCCACCAACGGAAGUCAAAAAGGGGAUGGGCUGGCUGCGCGAGACUAAACUCCACCCAGAGUCAUGAGCUAGCGCGCUUUGUAGCUACGGGCGGAGUUAUCUGCGCAAACUAUACUUGGCACUGCAAGCGUGUUGCGGUCAUUGUAACCAUUGCAAGCGUCGGCGCUUCAGAAAAUUUGUUGUCCCUUGCCCUCCCACUCAUAUCUCCGUUGCUAUUCCAACGUGAAAGACCGAGGGUCGGAGUCUCGGUCUGAUGACCGUCUCCUGCAGCACGGUAUGGUUGACGCAUGCGUAUACUUGAGCUCGGAUCCUCGCGUUGGGGCCAGACUUAAGUCUGGCGAAGUUCGUCUGGUGAAGGUAUCUGACGGCGAAGUUACUUGGUGAUAUAUAAGACUAAAAAGAUCCGACGAAGUCUAGAAAGAUGGCUGGUUGAGGCUGGAAGCAACAACAGGGGAUGUUGCGGUUGGCAGCGGUUAGCAAUUGGCGUGAGCAGUCGAAGCUAUGUCUACGGUUAGGUGGCUACCGGUACUUCUACGCGAAAUGACGAUGAUGAACUUUUUACGCCCAUCGUGGCACGGAAAACCUCCAGGAACCUCGCUAUACGGUUGGGUGGCUACCGGUACUUCUACGCCAAAUGACGAUGAUGAACUUUUACGCCCAUCGUGGCACGGAAAACCUCCAGGAACCUUGCUUAGAAUGUACAGGUAUUACCUAGUCUUCUAGUAAUCUAGCUAGACAAGUACGUAUGUAUACAAGAAUUGUUUAAAGUCAGAAUUUCAGAGUAGGAUGUCAGUACCUAGAAACUGACACUGAAGUGCAUUGGUUACCUACAUUGAA